GAACGGCUCUUCGGAGCAGUGGCGGACGGGUGAGUAACGCGUGGGAACGUGCCCUUUGGUUCGGAACAACACAGGGAAACUUGUGCUAAUACCGAAUGUGCCCUUCGGGGGAAAGAUUUAUCGCCAUUGGAGCGGCCCGCGUUGGAUUAGCUAGUUGGUGGGGUAAAGGCCCACCAAGGCGACGAUCCAUAGCUGGUCUGAGAGGAUGAUCAGCCACACUGGGACUGAGACACGGCCCAGACUCCUACGGGAGGCAGCAGUAGGGAAUCUUGCGCAAUGGGCGAAAGCCUGACGCAGCCAUGCCGCGUGAAUGAUGAAGGUCUUAGGAUUGUAAAAUUCUUUCACCGGGGAAGAUAAUGACGGUACCCGGAGAAGAAGCCCCGGCUAACUUCGUGCCAGCAGCCGCGGUAAUACGAAGGGGGCUAGCGUUGCUCGGAAUUACUGGGCGUAAAGGGCGCGUAGGCGGACAGUUUAGUCAGAGGUGAAAGCCCAGGGCUCAACCUUGGAAUUGCCUUUGAUACUGGCUGUCUUGAGUUCGGGAGAGGUGAGUGGAAUGCCGAGUGUAGAGGUGAAAUUCGUAGAUAUUCGGCGGAACACCAGUGGCGAAGGCGACUCACUGGCCCGAUACUGACGCUGAGGCGCGAAAGCGUGGGGAGCAAACAGG
rnacentral:rRNA from 1 species